ACCCAGAUGAUGAGUCUCACAUAAAACGAAACGUACGUCUUAGAU
rfam:Schistosoma rodhaini strain Burundi genome assembly, scaffold: SROB_scaffold0002741